rnacentral:lncRNA from 1 species
AUAAAAGGACCGUGUGGUAGGAAACGUACUGACGCGCCAUGAGAGACCAGGAUACGUCACAAAUAAGAGUCACAAACAAAAUGUUUAAAUUAAAAAAAAAAGUUUCGCCACAACGCUACCUAGCGGUCAAAUAUAGAACUGCAUGCAAAAUUCCCUUUUCUUGCCCCAAAACGCGAAAUUUUCUUCGCUUAUUUGUCAGAACGUGAGAAGUUGUAACACAGGUAAUAAAUCAUUUCAUCUGAUGAGUCAACAAUCAACGUUAAGCUAGCUUCGAAAAUUACCAAUGAUUCAUAGUCAGAGUAAACGUGAAAGUCGUGCAACCUACCGUCAACUUUUUUGUUCAAACUCAUUGUAUUCUACUGAAUGUGUCAUCGAAAUAAUUCAGGAUUAAUCUUAAUUAUCGAUUGUUUCUAUUGAACCUGCUAGAUCACCAACCCCAGC